rnacentral:rRNA from 1 species
AGAUGAGCCUAGGGUCGGAUUUAGCUAGUUUGGUGAGGUAAUGGCUCACCAAGGCGACGAUCCGUAACUGGUCUGAGAGGAUGAUCAGUCACACUGGAACUGAGACACGGUCCAGACUCCUACGGGAGGCAGCAGUGGGAAUAUUGGACAAUGGGCGAAAGCCUGAUCCAGCCAUGCCGCGUGUGUGAAGAAGGUCUUCGGAUUGUAAAGCACUUUAAGUUGGGAGGAAGGGUAGUAACCUAAUACGUUGCUACUUUGACGUUACCGACAGAAUAAGCACCGGCUAACUUCGUG